rnacentral:rRNA from 1 species
AACAGGAUUAGAUACCCUGGUAGUCCACGCCGUAAACGAUGUCGACUUGGAGGUUGUGCCCUUGAGGCGUGGCUUCCAGAGCUAACGCGUUAAGUCGACCGCCUGGGGAGUACGGCCGCAAGGUUAAAACUCAAAUGAAUUGACGGGGGCCCGCACAAGCGGUGGAGCAUGUGGUUUAAUUCGAUGCAACGCGAAGAACCUUACCUGGUCUUGACAUCCACAGAACUUUCCAGAGAUGGAUUGGUGCCUUCGGGAACUGUGAGACAGGUGCUGCAUGGCUGUCGUCAGCUCGUGUUGUGAAAUGUUGGGUUAAGUCCCGCAACGAGCGCAACCCUUAUCCUUUGUUGCCAGCGGUCCGGCCGGGAACUCAAAGGAGACUGCCAGUGAUAAACUGGAGGAAGGUGGGGAUGACGUCAAGUCAUCAUGGCCCUUACGACCAGGGCUACACACGUGCUACAAUGGCGCAUACAAAGAGAAGCGACCUCGCGAGAGCAAGCGGACCUCAUAAAGUGCGUCGUAGUCCGGAUUGGAGUCUGCAACUCGACUCCAUGAAGUCGGAAUCGCUAGUGAUCGUGGAUCAGAAUGCCACGGUGAAUACGUUCCCGGGCCUUGUACACACCGCCCGUCACACCAUGGGAGUGGGUUGCAAAAGAAGUAGGUAGCUUAACCUUCGGGAGGGCGCUUACCACUUUGUGAUUCAUGACUGGGGUGAAGUCGUAACAAGGUAACC